rnacentral:rRNA from 1 species
AACGAACGCUGGCGGCAGGCUUAACACAUGCAAGUCGAGCGCCCCGCAAGGGGAGCGGCAGACGGGUGAGUAACGCGUGGGAACGUACCUUUUGGUUCGGAACAACUCCGGGAAACUGGAGCUAAUACCGGAUAAGCCCUAACGGGGAAAGAUUUAUCGCCGAAAGAUCGGCCCGCGUCUGAUUAGCUAGUUGGUGAGGUAACGGCUCACCAAGGCGACGAUCAGUAGCUGGUCUGAGAGGAUGAUCAGCCACACUGGGACUGAGACACGGCCCAGACUCCUACGGGAGGGAGCAGUGGGGAAUAUUGGACAAUGGGCGCAAGCCUGAUCCAGCCAUGCCGCGUGAGUGAUGAAGGCCUUAGGGUUGUAAAGCUCUUUUGUCCGGGAAGAUAAUGACUGUACCGGAAGAAUAAGCCCCGGCUAACUUCGUG